rnacentral:snoRNA from 1 species
ACGACCUUACUUGAACAGGAUCUGUUCUAUAGGCUCGUACCUCUGUGUCCUUGAGACCUAAGGAGACAGGAACCAAAGUCUGGUGGAUGAACCAUGGCUGUGCGACCAGAGCGUGAUUAACAGCUCCGGCGGGUCCCUUCCGACCCCUCGGAGUCGUAGAGGAUCGUUCUCAGUCGGAGUUAUCCGGCUGGGGUGGUCACACGGCGGUCUGACAGACU